AAAGGCUUGCUGCCGAAGGAUCGGCCCGCGUCUGAUUAGCUAGUUGGUGGGGUAAUGGCCUACCAAGGCGACGAUCAGUAGCUGGUCUGAGAGGAUGAUCAGCCACACUGGGACUGAGACACGGCCCAGACUCCUACGGGAGGCAGCAGUGGGGAAUAUUGGACAAUGGGCGCAAGCCUGAUCCAGCCAUGCCGCGUGAGUGAUGAAGGCCUUAGGGUUGUAAAGCUCUUUUGUCCGGGACGAUAAUGACGGUACCGGAAGAAUAAGCCCCGGCUAACUUCGUGCCAGCAGCCGCGGUAAUACGAAGGGGGCUAGCGUUGCUCGGAAUCACUGGGCGUAAAGGGCGCGUAGGCGGCCAUUCAAGUCGGGGGUGAAAGCCUGUGGCUCAACCACAGAAUUGCCUUCGAUACUGUUUGGCUUGAGUAUGGUAGAGGUUGGUGGAACUGCGAGUGUAGAGGUGAAAUUCGUAGAUAUUCGCAAGAACACCAGUGGCGAA
rnacentral:rRNA from 1 species